rnacentral:rRNA from 1 species
GAAUACCCGCUGAACUUAAGCAUAUCAAUAGGCCGGAGGGAAGAGA